rnacentral:rRNA from 1 species
UUGACCUCGGAUCAGGUAGGAAUACCCGCUGAACUUAAGCAUAUCAAUAAGCGGAGGAAAAGAAACCAACAGGGAUUGCCCCAGUAACGGCGAGUGAAGCGGCAACAGCUCAAAUUUGAAAUCUGGCCCCAGGCCCGAGUUGUAAUUUGCAGAGGAUGCUUUUGGCGCGGUGCCUUCCGAGUUCCCUGGAACGGGACGCCAUAGAGGGUGAGAGCCCCGUACGGUUGGACACCAAGUCUUUGUAAAGCUCCUUCGACGAGUCGAGUGUUUUGGGAAUGC